AUGGAAUAUUCCAAGGAGAGAAGCAGGACCGUCGGAUGGGUCAGGGGGUCGGGGGCCUCGGAGAGCCUUGGGGUGUCUUGUAGUGGGGCCGGACGUGAGGACUUUGGAAGUUUGGCGCAGGGGGAGCCUCUCCCGGAUCAGCGCUCCAAACAGAUGAGGCCCGACCGCCCCCGAAACUGUUUAAACUGUCGACUUUCUGGCAUGAUUCUAAAAAACAAAAACAGGAUCAUGGAACAUGUGAAGUCUGCUGUGCCAGUGUUGUUGACAGUAAUAUCAAAGAAGCAUGGAAAAGUGAUGGAGAAAAUGGAGAAACUUCUCAGUGUGUGGCUGCAGGGUCAGUUUAAGUGUCAAGUCUCAGCUUAAUGUUGAUUCAGCAGGAAGCUCAAUGCCUUUAUGAAGACUUGAAGAAGAAAGUGAGUGAAGAAUCAGACGAUAUCUUUUAAUGCCGUCUUGGCUGGAUUCAUUGGUUCAAGGCUAGAGCCAGCCUUCAUAGAGUAAAAGUAAGUGGCGAGGUGGUGAGUGCAGAUACAGCAGUUGCCCAUUAAUUUCCUGAAAUACUUUAAGAAAUUACUGAUGAAGGUGCCUGUUUACCUGAGUAGUUACCUUGUGGAUGAGACAAGACUGUACUGGAAGAGGAUGCCAAACCGAAGUUACAUCUGUAAGGAAGAAAAGUGAUGCCAGGCAAUAAAGCAGCAAAUAAUUAGGCUAACUCUGUUGUUUGGUGUCAGUGUUUCUGGCGAUAUGAAGCUGAAAAUUCUCUUAUCAUUCAGAGAACCUAAGAGCCCUUAAAAACAUAGCCAAGGGCUCUCUUCCUGUUACGUGGAAUAGUAACCCCAAAGCCUAGGUUACACAGGCCAUUUUCCAGGACUGACUUUUCCACCACUUAAUCCUGGAGAUAGAGAAAUAUUGCUUGGAGAAGGACAUAUCCCAUUCAACAUUCUUUUGCUACUCAACAGUGCUCCAGGCCACCCCUUAUUCAUGAUUGACUUCAUCCUACCAUCAAAGGAGUGCAUCUGCCACCAAAUAUUUUGUCACUCAUCCAGCCUGUGGACCAGGGAGUUAUAGCAACUUCCACGAAAUAUUUACAUCACACUUCUUGUCAGCCAGUAUAGGUGGGUGAUGAAUCAAGAACAACCUUGUGACAGUUUUGAAAAGACUGUAACAUCUACAAGGCCAUAAAAAACAUUAACUUUGCUUGGCAUGAAAUAACAGUCGUCACCACGAAUGAGGUUUGGAGGAACCUUUGCAUGUAGUUUGUUCAUGAUUUUCAUGGAUUUGAGAAGGUGAAUAAGGAGUCCAAAGAAGUCUUCUGCAGCAUAUUGACCCUUAGCAAGAUGUUACAGCUAAAUCUGUAAGAGACUGAUUUCAUUGAACUCCAGCUUACUAAUGAAGGCUUGAUGAAAUAGAGGCCGAGAGAAAGGACCGAGAGAGACAAGAGGAAAAAGUAACUGAAGAAUUCAUAAGACAGGAAAUGGCAAGAGAAUUUUCUUGAUUUGAGGAAGCACUGUUAGUUUUUGAGGCACAGACUCCAAAUGUAGAACAGUGCAUGAAGGUUGUAGCCGCCGUUCAGAAUGCAGCCCAGCGCUAAAACCAUGUCAUCUAUGAUGAGAAAAAAAGAGCUACUACCCAGACAUCACUGAAAAUUUUUUUCAAGAGGGUAGAUAGAUUGAAUCCACCAAGGAACCAGAACCCGUGCCAUUAACAUCAGGCAUGAGUGAAGUUGCAGCUUGCCCUCCGUCUCCUACUGCUGGUGAUCCUUCAGUUCUGCCACCUCCCACUUCCUCUUCCUCCUCUAGUCAGUAACUCUUCUUGCCUGUUCACUCGAUGCCAUCUCCUAUAUGCCAGUUGUACUGUAUUGUACUUUUCAAGGUACUGUACUGUAAGAUUAAAAAUUUUUAUUUUUCAUGUCUGUUUUUUAUGUGUUAUUUGUGAGAAAGAUAUUUUAAACCUUCUGCAGUAUAGUACUAUGUUACUGAUUGUGUUAGUUGGUUACCUGGGCUAACUUUAUUGGACUUAGGAACACACUCUCAGAAUAGAACUUGUUCAUAUGUGGGGGACUUACUGAACUUUAUAACUUUUAGUUAUUCUACCAGAGACAUUCUUCAUUUCCAUUAGUGUUUUUGAUCUCUAGCAUUUCUUUCUGGUUCUUUUUUAGGAUUUCUAUUUCUCUCUUUGCAUUGCCUCUCUGAUCUUGUAUGUUGCCUACUGUAUCCAUUAGAGCCCUUAGCAUAUCAGUCAUAGUUAUUUCAAAUUCUUUGUUCUGAUAGGAAUGGAUAAAGGUGAUGUGGUACGUAAGUGCACUAGAAUAUUACCCAGCCAUUAAAAAGAAUGAAAUAGUGCCAUUUGCAGCAACAUGGAUGGAUCUAGAGACUGUCAUACUGAGUGAAGUAACUCAGAGAAGGAGAAAUAAUUUAUGACAUCCCUUAUAUUGGAAUCAAAAAAGAAAUAAUAAAAAUGACCUUACGAAACAGAAAGAGACUCAUAGACUAGAGAACUAACUUUUGGUUCUGGGGUGGAACUUUUGGUUCGGGGGCGGGAUGGAAGAGGGUGGGCAAUGGGAAGGGAUAGUUGGGGAGUUUGGGAUGGACAUGUACACACUGCUAUAUUAAAAAUGGAUAACCAGUAAGGACUUACUAUAUAACACAUGGAACUCUGGUCAGUGUUAUGUGGCAGCCCUAAUGGGAGGGGAGUUUGGGGGAGAAUGGAUAUGUGUAUAUGUAUGGCUCAGGCCCUUUGCUGAUCACCUAAAACUGUCACAACAUUGUUAAUUGGCUGUACCCCAAUACAAAAUAAGGAGUUUUAAAAAAUCUUGUUUUGAUAAAUCUAUCAACAUGCCUGCCUUGUCUGGUUCUGAUGUUUGCUCUGCCUUUUCACAAUGUGCAUUUUGCUCUUUGAUAUGUCUUGUAAUUUUUUUCUUGAUAGCCAGAUAUGAGAUAUUGAAUAAAAGAAUUGCUGUAAAUAAGCCAUUAGUAACCAGGUGGUAAGAUGUACAAGGGAAGUGUUUUCUAGUUCUGAUUAAGUCUCAUGCUUUUUGUGAGGCUAUGCCUCUGGACUGUGAAGUUUACAGUAUCUCAGUUUUCUUCUCCCCUUUUCCAUGGGACAGGAUGGCUACAGUAUGUUGGAGUUUGGUAUUAAUAUUUUUCUUUUCCUGGGUCAUUUAGGCUCUGAUAAUACACUAGCAGGUUAGGCUCUGGCUAAUUAGUUUCUCCUGAGGGAAGGCCUUAUUAAGAACAGAGUGCUUUGGUGUGUUUAAAAAUGGGCUUCUCCGGUGGCUCAGCAUUAAAACAAUCCUCCUGCAUUGCAAGUGCCCCAGGAGACAUGGGUCCAAUCCCUGGGUCAGGAAGAUCCUCUGGAGGAGGGCAUAGCAACCCACUCCAGNNNNNNNNNNNNNNNNNNNNNNNNNNNNNNNNNNNNNNNNNNNNNNNNNNNNNNNNNNNNNNNNNNNNNNNNNNNNNNNNNNNNNNNNNNNNNNNNNNNAACCCACUCCAGUAUUCUUGCCUGGAGAAUCCCAUGGACAGUGGAAUCUGGUGGACAAAGAGUUGGACACAACGGAAGCAACUUAACAUGCACUAGUUUCCUCUGAGGGCAGGCCUUAUUAAGAAGAACAGAAUGCUUUGAUGUAUUUAAAAAUGGUAGUUUACCCUCCCCUUGCCAAAAUCAGGGAAUUUUUCUCUGAUAUUUACUGUGGACUUCUGGUUGGGUUCCUGGUGAUAAUGGUGAGGGGCCCUGUGAUUGUACGCCCCUUGAGUUUUUAACACUCAAAGUUGUCCACACUGAGCCUGCACCAAUUAGUCAGUUAUAGUGUAGGUUUUCCUGCCUGGAUACUGGAUCCCACAGCAGUUUCAGCUGGUAACUCUUUGCUCAGAUAAGCUGUAAUUCCCUGCAUUCACCUCUUUCCAGUCUCAGAGGGCAGUGGUUUGUCAUUACCUCUCUUACAGAUCCAAGAAAUAUUGAUUUGUCUUUUCAGCUCUUGUUAGGAUGGAGAGGUGACUUGACACAGCAUCUUAUGUAGUUCUUUUCCUUUAAUUUAAAUAAAUAUGUUUAUUAUUUUUUUUAAUGGUGGUUGUUAACUUUUAAACAUCUGUCUGGUAGUAUAAUUGUAUAGAAUAAAAUUCACCCAUUUUAAGAGUAUAGUUCAGUGAGUUUUAGUACAUGUAUUUCAUUAUAUUAAUAUUCCAAAAUUUGUUUUAUCAGUUGUCUGUUGAUGGAGAUUUAGGUUGUUUAUAGUUUUUGGCUAUUACAGAUAAGGCAGCUGUGAACAUUUGUGUACAGUGAACAUAUGCCUUCGUUUCUCUUGGUUGCCUAUCUACCUGUCAUAUGGUAGGUGUCCAUUUAACUUUUUUUAUCAAAGUAAAAUUCACAUUCAUAAAAAUAACCAUUUUGUGAAUUAAAGAUCUAAAUGUAAGACCAGAAACUAUAAAACUCCUAGAGA
ensembl:lncRNA